rnacentral:misc_RNA from 1 species
GAUGAAGAACGUAGCGAAAUGCGAUAAGUAGUGUGAAUUGCAGAAUUCAGUGAAUCAUCGAAUCUUUGAACGCACAUUGCGCCGCUUGGUAUUCCAUGGGGCAUGCCUGUUCGAGCGUCAUUUGUACCUUCAAGCUUUGCUUGGUGUUGGGUGUUUGUCUCGCCUCCGCGUGUAGACUCGCCUCAAAACAAUUGGCAGCCGGCGUAUUGAUUUCGGAGCGCAGUACAUCUCGCGCUUUGCACUCACAACGACGACGUCCAAAAGUACAUUUUUACACUCUUGACCUCGGAUCAGGUAGGGAUACCCGCUGAACUUAAGCAUAUCAAUAAGCGGAGGA